UACAGAGGUCUCAAGCGUUGUUCGGAUUCAUUGGGCGUAAAGGGUGCGUAGGUGGCGGGGCCAGUCAGGUGUGAAAUCCCGGGGCUUAACCCUGGAACUGCAUUUGAUACUGCCUUGCUGGAGAACUGGAGAGGAGACUGGAAUUUACGGUGUAGCGGUGAAAUGCGUAGAUAUCGUAAGGAAGACCAGUGGCGAAGGCGGGUCUCUGGACAGUUCCUGACGCUGAGGCACGAAGGCCAGGGAGCAAACGGG
rnacentral:rRNA from 1 species